rnacentral:tRNA from 1 species
GUGAGUAUAGCUCAGUGGUAGAGUGUGUGCUUAGCAUGCACGAAGUCCUGGGUUCAAUCCCCAGUACCUCCA